UCGUCCAAGUUACACUUUCCAAACAGUCCUUUUUUUCCUGUCGCUGGUGUGAAGGGGAAUCCUUAGGGCGACAACGAUGACACAUAUAUUGCCAAUGGGUGUGUGUGUGUGUGUGUGUGUGUGUGGAUGCAGCUCGUGCAACUCCAUGGGAUUUUUUUAUUUUUAUUCGGGAACCCUUUAUCUCAGGGUAAAGGGUGUAACGUAUGGCUUUCAGUCCAUGUAAGUCAGGGGGGGGACACAGAACCCUGUGAUUGGAUGUUAUUAACGUUACGUUACUGAAUACACAUUCCUGAUCAUGUUGUUCAUAAGGUCAGUGUUGAAGGCUCCUCUCAAGGCAUUCUGAGGCGGUCUGUCCCCGGAGGGAACAGUAAGAGACGUGUUGUAGCACCGCGUUAUCCUUACCAGUGCUGAUAGUUACUUCUGUCAUUUUUUUUUUUUAUUAUUUUUUUUUGACUCCUAAGUAGGACUACAGGGGUAGUUAGUUGUCGGACUGGGGGUGAAUAGGGAUGAGGUGAGCAUGGAUGUGCGGCCUAACAUUUCUAUCAUAACCAUGUGGUCCUCAUUUUCUUCUUCUUCUAUCCAUCUAAAUCGAUUUUGACUGGUUACGUGUGUCCAACCGUCUGACUUGUCACAUACGGGUUGUCAGAGACGAGCAGGCCACACCAACCGAGACGUGCAGGCCACACCAGCCGCCGGCAAACUGUGUCACCUGCUUGGCAGUGACCUGCUGGGGCAAGCGAUAAGCUGAGAGAGCCGUGAGAGUGGACAUCAACAUAUCCAUCAUGACCAUAAGGACAGUGUGCCGGGUCAUCCCAGCAAGGCUACUCCAGAGGACCUGUUCUACCUCCUGUCGCGAAGGGUUGUCCAUAACAACCAACCAGUUGUUCAAGGCCACAGCUUGCCCAUCUUUGUGACCUUUGCCCUCGCCUUCCCUGCAGUCUGAUCCCCUGCCAGACAGUCUCCAUGGUGCUCAUUAUCACACUUCCUGUCUGAUUUAAAGUAUACAGACAUAUCCAGGCAGGAGGACUUGUCUCAGUGGUGUAGCCUUGAUAGAAAAUAAGAUGUGGUUAUCUGUUAGGCAAACAGCCUGUUUUAACCCAAGCCAAGAUCAACCAAGAUAUGCCCAUUGACAAAACCAGUUAAAAGAGACAGGUCAUGGUUUUACUCUGUCGAUGUAAAAGGGACACAAUUACAGUAAUUAGACAAGGAGCAGAGUCAUGCACUUGGCAGUAGCGCACUAUACAGUGCACUACUUUUGACCAGAACUCUAUGGGCCCAUAAAGGGAAUAUGGUGCCACUUGGGAUGCAAACUGUGCUGGCUGCAAUGUAUCCUAACCACACAACCUGGUCUCAGAGCGUUUUGUAUUAUUAUGUAUAUGUAAAUCCGAGACAUUCCAUUUAGUAUGAUAUGUUAAGUUUCGUAUGGUAUGUAUUAAUUUGUGGAUGUAUGAUAAGUUACGAGUUACUUGUAUGUAUGAUAUGUUACAAAUUUUCAAAAAGUACAAUAUUUUAAGAUUUUGCAAAAUGUAUGAUAUGUUGAGAAUUCCAAUUUGU